UAGAGCGAGCUAUGCAAUGUUUGCUGGUCUCUCGUCUUUGCUGAACUUCAGUACGUUGAGAGAGGCACCACAGAGAGCUUUUCCUGGGGUUGCUGGUGAUCUGAAUCCCUUCUGCUGACUCGUGCUGCUUCAGCGGAGGCCUGGCUGUUCCUGCUAGGUCACACCUCCACUGCUGCUAUCCCGACACUACUGAACUGGACUGCUGGUCUAUCUGUGAGGUGUUUGUGAGUAGAUCAAGCUGCCAUUGCUGACCUGUGAGCUGAACAGCUGAUUUUCUGACACUUCCAGUUUGUGACCUGAAAAACCUAAGCACGUUCUUGUACUACUUUUACUCAUAAAUGGAGAAAGAGCAGUUGCAGGGCCAAGAAGAAGCCGAUGCCCGGCUUUCCUGUCCCUUUACCUCAGCUGUAAGACCAUCUACACAGCUGCCCAGACCAGGGAUGUGAAUCUAACAUUUGGUAAUAAAAAUGUAACCAUA
rnacentral:lncRNA from 1 species